UACAGAGGCCUCGAGCGUUAGGCGGAAUCACUGGGCUUAAAGCGUGUGUAGGUGGAUGCCUAAGUACCUUGUGAAAUCCCACGGCUUAACCGUGGAACUGCUGGGUAUACUGGGCGUCUUGAGCCACUCAGGGGCUACCGGAACAAGCGGUGGAGCGGUGAAAUGCGUAGAUAUCGGGAGGAAUACCGAUGGCGAAGGCGGGUCUCUGGACAGUUCCUGACACUGAGACACGAAGGCCAGGGGAGCAAACGGG
rnacentral:rRNA from 1 species